rnacentral:ribozyme from 1 species
GGAAUGAAAAAAAAAAAGAAAGAUUGAGAAAAGAGAGAGAAGAAAAUGAUUGUCUUCUGUUCUGCCCCGUCUUUGCUUGGUUUGAUGAGAGGCUUUUCCGUCUGUCUGCCCGCGUAUCCGUCUGUAAAGUUGGCAGGUACUGAGUCUCUGUUGUGUGUCUCCUGUCAAUAGAGGUAGUUAACAGAAGAAAGUAGCUUCCCUGAAGAUAAAGAAAAAGAAAGAGAGCAGACUAAGUGCAUCCGUUGUCUUUGUUUCUAUCCACUGCUGCUUCUGUAUUUCGCUGUAUUUAGAGCUUUAAAGCAAAGAGAGUGGAAGAA